rnacentral:rRNA from 1 species
UACCAGCACCCCGAGUGGUCGGGACGAUUAUUGGGCCUAAAGCAUCCGUAGCCGGUUCUGCAAGUCCUCCGUUAAAUCCAGCUGCUCAACAGAUGGGCCGCGGAGGAUACUACAGAGCUAGGAGGCAGGAGAGGCAAGCGGUACUCAGUGGGUAGGGGUAAAAUCCGUUGAUCCAUUGAAGACCACCAGUGGCGAAGGCGGCUUGCCAGAACGCGCUCGACGGUGAGGGAUGAAAGCUGGGGGAGCAAACCGG